rnacentral:lncRNA from 1 species
CAAAUUAUUAUGUAAUCCUCUGAGGGCUAAAUUGACAUUAGAGACUUAAGGAUUUACAUAAGUGUUAUAUAUACAAAAAGGAUUACUGACUUUUUAAGAUAAUUAGAGUUAUGUCACAAAGACUGGAUAUUUAGGAAAUAGAUAAACUAGCAUUAUUAUGUAAAUUAGAUAUAUGAGUAUUAAUGUUAUGUAAAUUGAAUUAUGAAAGAGACA